GACCAGACUGGGCAAUAUGGCAAAACCCCAUCGCUACAAAAAAUACAAAAAUUAAUCAGGCAUGGUGGUGUUUGCCUAAAGUCCCAACUACUCAGGAGGCUGAGGUAGGAGGAUCGCUUGACCCCGGGAGGUUGAGGCCGCAGCGAGCUAUGAUUACACCACUGCACUCCAGCCUGAGCGACAGAGUGAGACACGCUGUGUCUUUAAAAAAAAAAAAAGAAGUGAAGGGAAAGGAACAAAAAUGGAAUGAAGAGGGGAAAAAGGAAAAGGAAGUGGGCUCAAGUGAUCCUCCCACCUUGGCCUUCCAUAGUGCUGGGAUUAUAGGCAUAAGCCACGGCACCCAGCCCCUGAAUACUGUUGAAACUGGGUGACAGGCCCAUGGUGGUGGUUCAUUGCAUUAUUCUCCUUGUUUUUAUAUGUGUUUCAAAUGUUCCAUAAUAAAGAUUUCAAAAUAAAUUUUACUAAUGUCAUGAUCUGGUGAACUUGGAAAACAGAUAAAGAACAAAGUGAUUCUUGGAACCAGUGAUCUCCAUAAUCUACCUGAGUAAAAGCUGUUAGUUUCUUUUUUUUUUUUUUCUUUUUGAGACAGAGUCUUGCUCUGUCGCCCAGGCUGGAGUGCAGUGGCACCAUCUCGGCUCACUGCAAGCUCCGCCUCCCAGGUUCACGCCAUUCUCCUGCCUCAGCCUCCUGAGUAGCUGGGACUACAGGCGCCCGCCACCACACCUGACUAAUUUUUUGUAUUUUUGGUAGAGACAGGGUUUCACUGUCUUAGCCAGGAUGGUCUCAAUCUCCUGACCUCGUAACCCGCCCGCCUCGGCCUCCCAAAGUGCUGACAUUACAGGCGUGAGCCACCGUACCCGGCCCUAAAACUGUUAGUUACCUAAGACAUACCUAAAUACUGGCCAAGCGCGGUGGCUCAUGCCUGUAAUCCCAGCACUUUGGGAGACCGAGGUGGGCAGAUUCCAAGGUCAGGAGUUUGAGACCAGCAUGACCAACAUGGUGAAACCUCGUCUCUACUAAAAAUACAAAAAUUAGCCGGGCGUGGUGGCAUGCACCUGUAAUCCCAGCUACUCAGGAGGCUGAGGCAGGAGAAUCGCUUGAACUCGGGAGGUGGAGGUUGCAGUGAGCCAAGAUCGCGCCAUUGCACUCCAGCCAGGUUACAGAGCAAGACUCCAUCUCAAAAAAAGGAAAAAAAAGAGAUACCUAAAUUCUAACGCUUAUUCCUCACUGAACAUACUAUUC
rnacentral:lncRNA from 10 species